GAUGAACGCUGGCGGCGUGCCUAAUACAUGCAAGUAGAACGCUGAAGGAAGGAGCUUGCUCUUUCCGGAUGAGUUGCGAACGGGUGAGUAACGCGUAGGUAACCUGCCUGGUAGCGGGGGAUAACUAUUGGAAACGAUAGCUAAUACCGCAUAACAGUAGAUGUUGCAUGAUAUCUACUUAAAAGGUGCAAUUGCACCACUACCAGAUGGACCUGCGUUGUAUUAGCUAGUUGGUGAGGUAACGGCUCACCAAGGCGACGGUACAUAGCCGGCCUGAGAGGGUGAACGGCCACACUGGGACUGAGACACGGGCCAGACUCCCUAGGGGAGGAGCAGUAGGGGAACUUCGGCAAAGGACGGAAGGCCUACCGCGCAACGGCGGGUGAGUGAAGAAGGGUUUCGGAUCGUAAAGCUCUGUUUUAAGGGAAGAACGAGUGUGAGAGUGGAAAGUUCACACUGUGACGGUAUCUGACCAGAAAGCGACGGCUAACUACGUG
rnacentral:rRNA from 1 species